rnacentral:rRNA from 1 species
UCUAAUUAGUGUCCAGGAGCGGAGGUGAGAGUGAGGGGUCUAGCGUUGUCCGGGUUGAUGUGUAGGAAGUGGCGCGUGGGCGGGUUUUGGCUGCGGAGUUGAAAACCCAAUGGCUUCACUGUGGGCCUGCAUUUGGUACGGGACAACUAGAGUGUGGGAGGGGAGACGUGAACUCCUGGUGUAGCGGUGGAAUGCGCAGAUAGCAGGAAGAACACCGAUGGCGAAGGCAGGUCUCUGGGCCAUAACUGACGCUGAGGAGCGAAAGCGUGGGGAGCGAACAGGAUUAGAUACCCGGGUAGU